AUUGAACGCUGGCGGCAGGCCUAACACAUGCAAGUCGAACGAGUGGCGGACGGGUGAGUAAUGUCUGGGAAACUGCCUGAUGGAGGGGGAUAACUACUGGAAACGGUAGCUAAUACCGCAUACCCUCGGAUGUGCCCAGAUGGGAUUAGCUAGUAGGUGGGGUAAAGGCUCAUCUAGGCGACGAUCCCUAGCUGGUCUGAGAGGAUGAACAGCCACACUGGAACUGAGACACGGUCCAGACUCCUACGUGAGGCAGCAGUGGGGAAUAUUUCGCAAUGGGCGCAAGCCUGACGGAGCCAUACCGCGUGAAUGAAGAAGGCCUUCGGGUUGUAAAAUACUUUCAGCGGGGAGGCGGUACCCGAAGAAAAAGCACCGGCUAACUACGUGCCAGCAGCCGCGGUAAUAC
rnacentral:rRNA from 1 species